rnacentral:rRNA from 1 species
UAGCCCGACGUUGUAGAAGACUGAUCGGGCCACAUUGGGGACUGAGACACGGGCCCAAAACUCCUACGGGGAGGCAGCAGUAGGGAAUCUUCCACAAUGGACGCAAGUCUGAUGGAGCAACGCCGCGUGAGUGAAGAAGGGUUUCGGCUCGUAAAAGCUCUGUUGUUGGUGAAGAAGGACAGGGUAGUAACUGACCUUUGUUUGACGGUAAUCAAUUAGAAGUCACGGCUAACUACGUGCCAGCAGCCGCGGUAAU